rnacentral:rRNA from 1 species
GAUUGAACGCUGGCGGCAUGCCUUACACAUGCAAGUCGAACGGCAGCAUGAUCUAGCUUGCUAGAUUGAUGGCGAGUGGCGAACGGGUGAGUAAUACAUCGGAACGUGCCCUGUAGUGGGGGAUAACUAGUCGAAAGAUUAGCUAAUACCGCAUACGACCUGAGGGUGAAAGUGGGGGACCGCAAGGCCUCAUGCUAUAGGAGCGGCCGAUGUCUGAUUAGCUAGUUGGUGAGGUAAAGGCUCACCAAGGCGACGAUCAGUAGCUGGUCUGAGAGGACGAUCAGCCACACUGGGACUGAGACACGGCCCAGACUCCUACGGGAGGCAGCAGUGGGGAAUUUUGGACAAUGGGGGCAACCCUGAUCCAGCAAUGCCGCGUGUGUGAAGAAGGCCUUCGGGUUGUAAAGCACUUUUGUCCGGAAAGAAAUCGCACUUACUAAUAUUAGGUGUGGAUGACGGUACCGGAAGAAUAAGGACCGGCUAACUACGUGCCAGCAGCCGCGGUAAUACGUAGGGUCCAAGCGUUAAUCGGAAUUACUGGGCGUAAAGCGUGCGCAGGCGGUUGUGCAAGACCGAUGUGAAAUCCCCGGGCUUAACCUGGGAAUUGCAUUGGUGACUGCACGGCUAGAGUGUGUCAGAGGGGGGUAGAAUUCCACGUGUAGCAGUGAAAUGCGUAGAGAUGUGGAGGAAUACCGAUGGCGAAGGCAGCCCCCUGGGAUAACACUGACGCUCAUGCACGAAAGCGUGGGGGAGCAAACAGGAUUAGAUACCCUGGUAGUCCACGCCCUAAACGAUGUCAACUAGUUGUUGGGGAUUCAUUUCCUUAGUAACGUAGCUAACGCGUGAAGUUGACCGCCUGGGGAGUACGGUCGCAAGAUUAAAACUCAAAGGAAUUGACGGGGACCCGCACAAGCGGUGGAUGAUGUGGAUUAAUUCGAUGCAACGCGAAAAACCUUACCUACCCUUGACAUGCCACUAACGAAGCAGAGAUGCAUUAGGUGCUCGAAAGAGAAAGUGGACACAGGUGCUGCAUGGCUGUCGUCAGCUCGUGUCGUGAGAUGUUGGGUUAAGUCCCGCAACGAGCGCAACCCUUGUCUCUAGUUGCUACGAAAGGGCACUCUAGAGAGACUGCCGGUGACAAACCGGAGGAAGGUGGGGAUGACGUCAAGUCCUCAUGGCCCUUAUGGGUAGGGCUUCACACGUCAUACAAUGGUGCAUACAGAGGGUUGCCAAGCCGCGAGGUGGAGCUAAUCCCAGAAAAUGCAUCGUAGUCCGGAUCGUAGUCUGCAACUCGACUACGUGAAGCUGGAAUCGCUAGUAAUCGCGGAUCAGCAUGCCGCGGUGAAUACGUUCCCGGGUCUUGUACACACCGCC